GAUUGGCCUCCGGGCCGUUUUCGAACACACACACACACCGUGAACCGUUCCGUCGUCCUUCGGGGCGGUGGCUUACCACCACAAACAAUGUAUACCAGAACGUGAAAUGUCGUAAACAAACAAAACUUUCAACAACGGAUCUCUUGGCUCU
rnacentral:misc_RNA from 1 species